GGCGGCGUAGCUCAGCUGGCUAGAGCAUGCGGUUCAUACCCGCAGAGUCGGGGGUUCGAUCCCCUCCGCCGCUA
rnacentral:tRNA from 1 species